GGCGGACGGACAUCGGGGGCAGUGCUAAGAUGUCGACGGCGGCGGUACCGGAGCUGAAGCAGAUCAGCCGCGAGGAGGCGAUGCGCCUGGGGCCGGGCUGGAGCCACUCUUGCCACGCCAUGCUGUACGCCGCCAACCCCGGGCAGCUCUUCGGCCGCAUCCCCAUGCGCUUCUCGGUGCUGAUGCAGAUGCGCUUCGACGGACUGCUGGGCUUUCCCGGGGGCUUCGUGGACCGGCGCUUCUGGUCGCUGGAGGACGGCCUGAACCGCGUGCUGGGCCUGGGCCUGGGCUGCCUGCGCCUCACCGAGGCUGACUACCUGAGCUCGCACCUGACCGAGGGCCCGCACCGCGUCGUGGCGCACCUGUACGCGCGGCAGCUGACGCUGGAGCAGCUGCACGCCGUGGAAAUCAGCGCGGUGCAUUCGCGCGACCACGGUCUGGAGGUGGGGCCGCUGCCCGGGCCCCGCCCCCGCCCCGCCCCGGGCUUGGCUCUGGCCCCGCGGAAGGCGCCGAUGGGUGCUGGGCCUCGUGCGGGUCCCGCUGUACACCCAGAAAGACCGAGUCGGGGGCUUUCCCAACUUCCUGAGCAAUGCUUUCAUCAGCACCGCCAAGUACCAGCUCCUCUUCGCCCUCAAGGUGCUCAACAUGAUGCCCGAGGAGAAGCUGGCUGAGGCCUUGGCUGCGGCCACAGAGAAGCAGAAGAAAGCCCUGGAAAAGCUGCUCCCAGCUUCCUCCUGAGCAGUCUGCAAGCAGCUCCAGGGGAUGGUCUGGAAGCACAGGCUUAGUGUGCAGAGUGACAACAGCAGAGCCACUACGGGACAGGAAGGCCACCACUGGCGGUCUCCUACAGCCCCAUGUCUGGAAAACUCCAGUGGUGCGAUUGGAAAAUCUCCACAGCCCAUGCCUGGCCUGGUAAGGAAGGCGGUGCUCCCUGCUUCACUUUGGAGCACGAUAGGAGCCUCCUGUGGGGAAGGCAUUUGCUGUGUAAAUAAAUCACCCAUACCUGGCUCA